rnacentral:miRNA from 1 species
UCCACUGUUGCGUUUUUCAUACGUACGUAUACGCACGUAAAACUUUAAAUCCAUUUAAAUGUUACUUAUGAAAUAACCAAAUAAAUAAAGCAACGGAAUUUAGUGUUCCGCAAGUUUUAGUAUGCAUUUGUUAACUUAUUUGUAAAAUAUUUAAAAAAUAGAAGGAUUCAAAGUUUUACGUGCGUGUACGUGCGUACGAAAAACGCAACAGUGGA